rfam:Otolemur garnettii contig112571, whole genome shotgun sequence.
AAGUAGUUAGGCUAAAUGACAUCCCAAGGGAGGGAACCUAAUCCAAAAGGACUGGUAUCCUUGUAAGAAGAGAAAGUUUUGUGAUAUCUGGGUUUAAGAAGUGCAAUAUUAAAGCAAAAGUCAUGAGACUUUUAGGCCUGUAUGUAAAGAUACACUCUGAGUUAUAAAUCAAAGGCACAACU